rnacentral:rRNA from 1 species
CAGUUCGGACUGUGGUCUGCAACUCGACUACAUGAAGCUGGAAUCGCUAGUAAUCGCAGAUCAGAAUGCUGCGGUGAAUACGUUCCCGGGUCUUGUACACACCGCCCGUCACACCAUGGGAGUCGGGAAUGCCCGAAGUCAGUGACCCAACCGCAAGGAGGGAGCUGCCGAAGGCAGGCUCGAUAACUGGGGUGAAGUCGUAACAAGGUACC